GCAAUGGUAGUUGAGUGAAAAAUUCUUGUCUUCCAUGCAGGGGACCUGGGUUCAAUUCCCAGCUAAUAUA
rnacentral:tRNA from 1 species